ACUGAAUUUGGCAAAGGAAUCCUGUGAACCGAUUGUCUCUUUUCUUAUUUUUCUUCUUUUGCUUGUGUAAAGAGGUGGUUUAAAUUGGAAAUUAUAUUUUUUUAAUAGUUUAUUCUUGAUCGUACUUUUAAAGAAUUUUCAACAUUUAUCAUCAAAUUGAACAUGGAUAUUGAUGUGAACCUGGCAUGUAACAGAAUUGAAUGUCGAAAAAUGAUCCAUAUUGCCG
rnacentral:misc_RNA from 1 species